rnacentral:rRNA from 1 species
UAGGGAAUCUUCCACAAUGGACGCAAGUCUGAUGGAGCAACGCCGCGUGAGUGAAGAAGGUCUUCGGAUCGUAAAGCUCUGUUGUUGGUGAAGAAGGAUAGAGGCAGUAACUGGUCUUUAUUUGACGGUAAUCAACCAGAAAGUCACGGCUAACUACGUGCCAGCAGCCGCGGUAAUACGUAGGUGGCAAGCGUUGUCCGGAUUUAUUGGGCGUAAAGCGAGCGCAGGCGGAAUGAUAAGUCUGAUGUGAAAGCCCACGGCUCAACCGUGGAACUGCAUCGGAAACUGUCAUUCUUGAGUGCAGAAGAGGAGAGUGGAACUCCAUGUGUAGCGGUGGAAUGCGUAGAUAUAUGGAAGAACACCAGUGGCGAAGGCGGCUCUCUGGUCUGCAACUGACGCUGAGGCUCGAAAGCAUGGGUAGCGAACAGGAUUAGAUACCCUGGUAGUCCAUGCCGUAAACGAUGAGCGCUAGGUGUUGGGGACUUUCCGGUCCUCAGUGCCGCAGCA